AGCGAAUUUGCCUUGGCGCUGACCAAUUCAUUGCUGGCGUCCAAAUUUUUCAUGGCCUUCUUGAGAUGAAAUAUUUCACUUUGGAAAUGUAUUUUUUUGCUAAAAUAUACCUCUAGAUAAGUAAUUUCUCUUCAAAAAUUAAGAUGUCUAGAGAGAGAAAGUAACAAGAAGCUAGCACGUCUAAUUUUUAUCUUCCUGGCCGAAGAAUUCGCGUUGUUUGUCAUGUCUCACGGCUGCUUGCACUGGCAGUCUGACAACACUGUCACUGUGAAGGUAAUUGAAAAACUACAAUAUAUUAUUGUUAUUUAUAUUAUAAUUCAACAUAUAAUGGCCCUAUGACUGGUGCUAAUAUGCCUACAAAGUAUUUUUUUAAAGCGCUUAGUUUUGAGAAAUUAUAAUUUGAUAAUGAAAAUUUACUAGUGGGCCAUAGACUCAUAUCCAUUUUACACUGUGAACGUUGGCACUUGUUUAAGUUAUUUUGACUAAAAAUUAUCGCAUGUUAAUAAAUACUCUAGUAUAUAAUAAUACUGUAAUUUAUAGUUUAUUCCCUUGGAGCAUGCAAAGUGCCUACAUGUGGAAUAAUUUGCCUUAGAUCCACAGCUCUCAUACAGAUUAGAACUCCCAUAAAUUCUUUUACACAUCCUAGUACAUUUUACCAUUCUAAAAGUGCAUUUCCCCAUCCCCUUUCAGACAGCAGAAAUUUCAUUUGUAUUGUGAGUUUAUAUUGUGCACUGAAUGGUGAAUCAGUAAAACUAAAAGAUUGCCAACCAGUUUAGAGAUAGUUUUGUUCAAAUGUAACUUAUGUAAGUAUGUUUCUCUCUCAAUUAGAAAUAAAUCUACUGUUAAUAAAUUAAUUGGAUAGAUUUAGUGUAACAUAUAGAUUUAGGUUUCCAGUUUGUGAAAUGAAAUGCAAAUCAAUUGUAUUAUAUUUUAGAUAUUCAUGCUUCUCAAAUUUCAAUAUGGAUAAAACAAGAACUGUCAAGAAGACUGCAACUGUAUAUGUACAACUUAAUGGGGAUGGGAAUGCUGUUAGUCUUCGCAUCUAGGAAUGUUGCUAAUAUGAGAUUAUUAAGAAAACUGCAAAGUCAACAACUAUCCUAGAUUCCAUAAUAUUAGGAAGCUGGCUCAACUAUACUUAAUAUUCUGGUAAUACUCAAGAAAGUGACAUGGCAAUUCAACAAUGCAUAUACAACAGAACAAGAUAUUUCCAUACCAAGACAAUUCUUACUGAAUUAGUAUUUAGCUGAUAUUUCAUUUUUUACAGUAUUUAAAGUUAUAUACAGUGCUGUUUUAAGUUAAAUAACAAAGUUACUUGGUUCAAAAUCUGGUCUUUGUUUUUCCUUCUCUGUACUGUGCAAGGGUAAAGAAAAGAGGUGGUAAUAUGCAUCCUCACAUGCGGCUGAUAGGAACUCUCACUCAUAUGGAAAAUGAAUUGGGUCGUUCCAGAAAAGAUCCAUACUCCCCGAUGGAGGAAAUUUCUGCCGUCUGGAGGGGGAGGGGAGAAAAAAUUGUUUCUGAUAAUAGUAAAUGUAUUAGGACAUCUGAAGGGGGUUAACUUCCUAUUUCCUCUGUGGGGGUGGUAUGGAUGUUUUCUGGAAUGACCCAUUCUCAUAAAGUAAGCCUUGGAGCUUUUUUGAAAUCGAUUUCAUUCAUGCUUCAACAACCGAUCUCCUGCAUGUACAUCAUUGCAAAAUGUGCAGCCAGCCUGCAAUGUCCAAACCACAGUUGUCCACAACAUUUGUUCUCAUUGAGCUGUCCAUUGAUGAGGAAGUGUAGUGUGGAGACAAACAAUUUUGAUUUGGCUGCAUUUAUUUAAACACUUGCUUUAUUAUACCUCCCUCACUGAUUCAAUAGUUGCUAAUGUAAAUUUGUACUAGCUCUGCAGGACAGAUGUGUUCAAUUUUUCCUAUAUGGUAUGGAAUAAAGAUCAUGCUGUUAGUGUUACAUGCAUGCAAAUGGUAAUUCACAAUGAUGUAAAGGCUAAUGAAAUUCAAUUAUGGGUUGUCCAGAACUACCAACAUUUCCUGAAGUGUACAAACUAUAUGCUUCAGGUAGGCGGGUUCAUAACCAAUAUUCAUCGGUUAAGUCGCUGUGGGAGGGGGUUGAAAAGUGUACUCUCUGUACACCUGUGAUAAUUAUGGAUGAUUUACAGUGUAACACUAAUGCUAGAUUUAACUGAAAAUAAUUUUAUAGUUAUGUUGAAUAUAUUUUAAAUGUUCCAUUUGUGGCAUCCAUUCUUGGUGGUCAGUGGCAUCCAUUCUUGUGGAAAAUUCAAGUAGCUGUGCUCCAGCAGUUGGCUGCAGUGGCACAAAUUAUUGACAUAACCAAAAUUUUAAUAUUGCAUAGGAUCUUAGAUUCGUUUUUAUUAUUUCCUGGUGUCCUAUGAGCCCAGCAAGAACUGCUUAUUUUAUUAUUAUAAUUUUUAAACAUGUAACAAUUAAGCUAUACAAACAGCAAUCGUUCUGUGCCUCUAUUUCUGCUAUAAAAAUGCAUAUUCAUCUGAGACUGAUAUUAAACUGUCACAUGAAGCAGACAAGAGGUUUUCGUACUAGUUAAACAAGUGGUAGUAUUUGAGAGGAACUAAACGUCACAAACGCAAAUGGUUCUGUGGUUUGUUUGAUCAUACAGUGUGUGUAUAUAUUCAUACCUUCGAUAACGAUGUGAGCAUAAGCUGUCUCAACUUUGAAGUACCAAAAUGAUGUCUUGUGCCUGAUAUUAGGCUGAAAGUUGGAAAAUAUUUGCCAGAAACGAGCUUCGCGCCUUGGCGAAGCAUGCAUUUUACUACAAACAAAUUAUUGUUGUGAAAAUCCUUGUAAAUCAUGCAACCAAUCGUAGGGCUCAUUACAAGAAUUAUUUAGCGGUAAACCAAUCAUAUUCAUUAUAACAACAUCCUCAAAGCAC